rnacentral:rRNA from 1 species
GUCUAUGGCCAUACCACCCUGAACAAACCCGAUCCCCUCUGUUCUCAGAACCUAAGCAGGGUUGGGCCUGGUUAGUACUUGGAUAGGAGACCACCUAGGAAGACCAGGUGCUGUCGGUG